rnacentral:rRNA from 1 species
UACGUAGGGGGCAAGCGUUGUCCGGAAUCAUUGGGCGUAAAGCGCGUGUAGGCGGUUCGGUAAGUCUGCUGUGAAAGUCCAGGGCUCAACCCUGGGGAUGCCGGUGGAUACUGUCGGACUAGAGUACGGAAGAGGCGAGUGGAAUUCCCGGUGUAGCGGUGAAAUGCGCAGAUAUCGGGAGGAACACCUAUUGCGAAGGCAGCUCGCUGGGACGUUAACUGACGCUGAGACGCGAAAGCGUGGGGAGCAAACAGG